UACGGAGGGUGCAAGCGUUAUCCGGAUUUACUGGGUUUAAAGGGUGCGCAGGCGGAUAUGUAAGUCAGUGGUGAAAUCUCUAGGCUUAACCUGGAAAUUGCCGUUGAUACUAUAUAUCUUGAAUGUUGUGGAGGUAAGCAGAAUAUGUCAUGUAGCGGUGAAAAUGCUUAGAUAUGACAUAGAAUACCUAUUGCGAAGGCAGCUUACUACGCAGAUAUUGACGCUCAUGCACGAAAGCGUGGGGAUCAAACAGG
rnacentral:rRNA from 1 species